rnacentral:rRNA from 1 species
GGGUUGUGAGGUUAAGCGACUAAGCGUACACGGUGGAUGCCCUGGCAGUCAGAGGCGAUGAAGGACGUGCUAAUCUGCGAUAAGCGUCGGUAAGGUGAUAUGAACCGUUAUAACCGGCGAUUUCCGAAUGGGGAAACCCAGUGUGAUUCGUCACACUAUCAUUAACUGAAUCCAUAGGUUAAUGAGGCGAACCGGGGGAACUGAAACAUCUAAGUACCCCGAGGAAAAGAAAUCAACCGAGAUUCCCCCAGUAGCGGCGAGCGAACGGGGAGGAGCCCAGAGCCUGAAUCAGUGUGUGUGUUAGUGG